AAGCUGCAACUACAACAACUACGCCAGCUGCAACCACCACAACAACAGCUGCUACUACAACUACAACAACUACUCCGGUUCCAACCACCACAACUCAAGCUGCAACUACAACUACUGCAGCUGCAACCACCACAACAACAGCUGCAACUACAACUACAACAACUACUCCGGUUCCAACCACCACAACUCCAGCUUCAACUACAACUACAACAACUACUCAGCCUGCAACCACCACAACUCCGGCUGCAAGUAACACAACUGGCUUGGUACAUAUACAGAUGGAGUUGACUUCCUUUGGAGAGAUCAGCAAUGGAACCAUCAUUGAACUUGUUAAACAGUUUUUUAGAGAACCGCUGCUGAAUGGAACAGCACACAAACUCACCGUGACAAAGAUUCAAAGGGUCGGAGUUGCAACCACAACUACAACUACUACCACAACACCACCAACAACCUAAACCACAUCCACAACGACAACACUUCCAAUGACCACUACAAGACCAGCAACUACCACACCCCCUAUCACAACAACACCACCACCAAGCACGACUACUACACCCCCAAGUACCACAACUAUGCCCCCAACUACCACAACACCAUCCCCAAUAACCACAUCAACAACUUCAACACCUUUGAGCACCACAAUAACAUCUCCAAUAACCACAAGUACACCAGCAACUACCACACCCCUUAGCACCACAACAACACCCCCAAGCACCACUACUGCACUUCCAACUACCACAACACCCUCAAACCAAGUAAUUUGACAUGUCAAAAAGGGUGCUCUGUAACUGGAGGAGCAGUUGCCAUGCUGACGAGCCUGGUAACCAGGGAACGAGUAAACUAUGUUUCUUACUCAAUCUUUUUCAUCAUGUACAUAUGAAGAAACGUUUCACGCAAAACACUGACAAUGAUAACCUCAGUGAGUGCCUGAUACGAAGUGAUGAUUGUACCGUAAAUCUGGAAAAUGAACAUGAAACUGUUUUGCCUUGUACCAUCAAGAAUUAAUUCAUUAGGCUUAUAGAAUUUAUCUUUCCAAUUCAUUGGAAACACCCACUUCGAUUGUUAUCAGACUAUUAAAUGGCCGUUAUCAGUUGUCAUUGGGAGCAUCUGGUAUGGCUCUACUCUACCUCCCAAUUGGCUCAGAAGGCCUUUAUCAUCUAUUGGUAAACUGGAUCACAGCAGGGAGGUACAAAAUUGUUAGGCUGUGACCUGUAGUGACCUUAGUAAUUAUGACGGGAGCAAAGGGGGAAGUCAGGUCAUGGUAUAAAGAGUGACAAUGUCUGCGUAGGGAGGAGAUCGGAAUGGAUGGGUGGGUCAAACAAACACAGGAUUCUCCCCAAAGAGAUCGCUGUUUCUGUCCCGUGUGAAACCAAAAGUCAACAUGUUAACUUAUUUUAACUUACAUACGUAAGUUAACUUAGGCUGCGUAACAAACUUGUGUGAUGUACAUAACGUAGCUUAUUUACGGAAAACUUACAUAAAACCUUAUUUUAAUCCAAAUCAUGAUCUUUUCCUAAGCCAAACAAACACAGGACUGUCACCCAGAAGACUGCUGUUUGUGUCCAGUGUGAAACCAAAGUCAACACGUUGACUUAUUUUCACUUAUGUGCAUAAGUUAACUUAUGUCACAUACUUAAAGGGAUAGUUCCGUGUUUUGAAGUGGGGUUGGAUAAGGUACUUAUCCAUAGUAGGUGUAUUAUUUACAGUAGAUGGCGAUUGGCGUGCCCUCAGAUUGGAGAGACAUACAGGAGUACUGACAUUGUAGCAAAGCAAUACAGCGCUGUGGAUGGGGAUGGCAGAAAAAAAAUAUUUUUGACACCUAAGAAAGGCUCACCUAAAAAAAAUCAAUAUCUGUUUAAGUGUACGCUAUAUUCAGAAUAUUUUCACCGCUUUAUCUUGACAUUAGUCAGCCCUUUCCUUCUCCUUUCCGAUGGAAAACAUAACUGAAAGUGAAACUUACCUAUGAUCUCUCCAAAGCGAGCAAGCUCAGAUGACAAAAACAGUAUAGAUACGUUUCAAAAUAUUCUAAAUAUAGCAUACACCUAAACGCAUAUCAGUUUUUUUAGGUGAGCCUUUCUUUUAGGUUGCUAAGAUAUAUUUUUCUGCCGUCCCCGUUCACAGCACUGUAUUUCUUUGCUCCGAUGUCGGUGCUCCUGUCUUUUUCUUGAUGGUGGGGGCACACCGACCGUCAUCUACUGUAAGUAAUACACCUACUGAGGAUAAAACACCCAAACGAUCCCUUUAAGUUUACAAUGUGCGGAAGCAUUAUAAUAGCAGUGGUAAUAACUGAUAACGGCCAUUUGAUGGGCAAACAUUCGAAUUGGGUGUGGAAAAGCAGAAGAAUCUGGGCUGAGCUAAGAACAAUGAGAUUGUGUACAAGAUGGGCAAGAGCCAUACUUUCUGAGGAUGAGCCAUACUUUCAUACAUGCUGAGGAUGUUCUAUCUAUCUGUCUGUGGUAGUUAGUACUAUUUUCUUGCUUUCGUGUGCUGGGGGUAAGUGCAGUCGACGCCAAUGGAAUCAAAAAGAUCAUCAAGAAGGCUGGCUCUGUCUGGCGGGUGGAGCUUGAUUUUUUUGUGGCGGUGUCAGAGAGAAGGAUGUAGCUCAAACUGCAGAGCAUCAUGGACAAUGACUCUCACCCUCUCCACGAUGUGCUGGCACAGGAGCACUUUCAGCAGUACACUGUUACCACCACGAUGCACCAAAGAACGCCACAAGAAAUCUUUUCAGCCUUUGCAAACAAACUUUACAACUCAUCUAACUUGUGUCGAGAGAUGGAUACAGCACUGUUCUGCUCUGCUCCUUUAAUCUCUCACUUUCUUCUCUCUGGAUUACUGUCUCUGUGAAUUACAAUCAUUAUAACUAUUAAUGUGAAAUAAUGGGACAAAACAUGCAAUAUCAUGGACAUAAUCGCUGAACAUUUUGAAUUAUAUAUACAUUUCCCUGUAUAGAUUUGAUAUUGUACAUACAUAACUUCAUGCCACUUCUCAUACAUAGCUACAUGCAACUCACAAUGAAGCAACUUGAGAAAUGCAUAAUGAUCUGUAUUGUUAACCAUGUUUAUAUUUUGGCGUUGUGUAUAGUUUGUAUUUUUGAUAUUUGUUUAUUGAUAAUUUUAUACUUGCAUAGAUAUGCAAGUAUAAAUUAGUAGUUUAUAUUGAACUAUUUCCUACUUUGUACUUUGAAAUGUUGCACAAGAAGAAUUAUAGUUCUAUCGUAUGAAAAGGCAGAGCAAGCAAAUCCUGCUUUUUGAGUUGCCCUAAUCAGAAAGCUUGUAUUUUUAUUUGGGGCUUAUACAUCUGUAUAAAUUGUUUGUCCAUU